UAGAAGCAGGAGGGAGCAUGUAGGGAACUGUCCAGCGCUGCUGUGCUGAAACCCAGGGCCUAGAGGGUAGCACAGUUCCUCCUAUCAUCAGCUAAAGAACUGUCCAAGCAGCUGGGGUAGCACAGAGUUAAGCUUUGGCCCCAGGCUGUGGUUCAUUCUGCUGUUCUGACACCUCCUGCUGCUGGCUACUCAGAUUCCUGCCGGCUGAACUUCCCCUGGGAGAUCUCUAUGCUUCGUGCACUGGAUGGAGCUCAAACCUGUAUUCGGAAGGCCUUGAUACAAACUGGACUUAGCCUGCCUUGUCCUGGUUGACCUAUUUCCCAGGAAGCAGAACUGGAGUCAGAGGCUGUUUAUUGAGGCGAACCAUUGAGAAGAACAGCAGUUAGGAUGGGGCGUGUGAAGUAGGAGGAGGGAGAGCCCACGUUCAUUACAGUGGACCUGUCUUUGAUGGUGGUGUUGUACUGUGUACCAUGCUAAGCAACCAGCAUCCGGCAGCCCGAAGAUGAUGGCUGUCAGAGGCACUGUGUGAUAGGAAGACAAACUAAUAUCUGGGGUAAAUACAAAUUUUGUUAAGGGCAAAGUUCUGCUUCCUCGAGGGCAGUGGUUCUCAACCUGUGAGUUGGGGCCCCUUUGGAGGGGUGGUCCCAUAUCAGAUAUCCUGUAUACCAGAUACUUAUAUUGUGAUUUGCGACAGUAGCAAAAUGAAAUCAUUCUAUGGCUGGGGAUCACAACAAUGGAGGAACUUACUAUAUUAAAGGGCCACAGCAUUAGGACGGUUGAGAACCAUUGCACUAAAAGGAUUUGACAUAACUAGCCUGCCUUUGAGUGUCUGUGUUGGGUACAUAUCAAGGAUUCAAGGUCAGUCCUAGACACUGGUAAGUUAGGUGUUGACCAAUGCCAUUCACCUUUGAUGAGAAGACCCACAACUAGUCUCUUCUUCUCUACUGUGUCAACUGUUUACAAAUUUAUUGUGCCACUCCUGAAGAAGCUUAGGAAAGAAGCAGCCUGACAUCUAUCCUGAGUCACCCGGUCCAUCUAUCUCAGAUGGGCAUAGAUCUGAGAGCCAAGGAUAGGCAAGCUUAUUCUCACUCUAGGCUUCAGUCCCCACCCCCUUUCACCAGAAGCCAUUUUCCCAUACCUUACAGUCAAGCUGCUCAUGGACACACAAGGCAUUUCGUAUAGCUCAGGACUCUGCUAACUAGUAGCUUACAACACCUUUCCUUCCACGAGAAACAGGAUGAUUAAGUGGAUUGUGGGGAUUUUCUUUCUUUUCAA
rnacentral:sRNA from 1 species